AACGAACGCUGGCGGCAUGCCUAACACAUGCAAGUCGAACGAGACCUUCGGGUCUAGUGGCGCACGGGGGGUUAACGCGGGGGAACCUACCCUUGGGUUCGCUGUAACUCCCCGAAAGGGAUGCUAAUAACGGUGAAGGUCUUAGGACCAAAGAUCUCUCGCCGUUGGAUGGGGGCGGGUUGGUUUAGCCAGUUGGUAGGGUAAAAGCAUACCAAGGGCGGGUUGCAUAGCUGGUCUGAGAGGAUGAUCUGCCACACUGGGACUGAGACACGGCCCAGACUCGUACGGGAGGGAGCAGUGGGGAAUAUUGGACGAUGGGCGAAGGCCUGAUCCAGCAAUGCCGGGUGAGUGAUGAAGGGCUUAGGGUUGUAAAGCUCUUUUACCCGGGAUGAGAAUGACAGUACCGGGUGAAUAAGCUCCGGCUAACUACGUG
rnacentral:rRNA from 1 species